rnacentral:rRNA from 1 species
CCCGCCGGCGACCGGCGCACGGGUGAGUAACACGUAUGAAACCUGCCCGUAGCAGGGGGAUAAGCGGAAGAAGUUCCGUCUAAUACCGCGUAACAACCCGAGGAGGCAUCUCCUCGGGUUUAAAGGAAGCGAUUCCGGCUACGGAUGGUCAUGCGUCGCAUUAGCUAGUUGGCGGGGUAACGGCCCACCAAGGCGACGAUGCGUAGGGGUUCUGAGAGGAAGGUCCCCCACACUGGUACUGAGACACGGACCAGACUCCUACGGGAGGCAGCAG